AACGAACGCUGGCGGCAGGCUUAACACAUGCAAGUCGAGCGCCCCGCAAGGGGAGCGGCAGACGGGUGAGUAACGCGUGGGAAUCUACCCAUCUCUACGGAAUAACGCAUGGAAACGUGUGCUAAUACCGUAUACGUCCUUCGGGAGAAAGAUUUAUCGGAGAUGGAUGGGCCGGCGUUGGAUUAGCUAGGUGGUGGGGUAAAGGCCUACCAAGGCGACGAUCCAUAGCUGGUCUGAGAGGAUUAUCAGCCACACUGGCACUGAGACACGGCCCAGACUCCUACGGGGAGCAGCAGUGGGGAAUAUAUGACAAUUGGCGCAAGCCUGGUCCAGCCAUGCCGCGUGAGUGAUGAAGGCCCUAGGGUUGUAAAGCUCUUUCACCGGUGAAGAUAAUGACGGUAACCGGAGAAGAAGCCCCGGCUAACUUCGCGCCAGCCGCCGCUGUAACAC
rnacentral:rRNA from 1 species